GAGACAAGCAUAUGACUACUGGCAGGAUCAACCAGGUAGCAUUCCUUCGGGACACCGACACCCGCAUGAGCCCCACCGAGCCGUGAGGCUGCAGGCCCAAGGACGGGUGCGGCAGUCGUUCAUGUCGUUGGACAAAAUGCAUUGCUCGAUUGGAUGGAGGCCUCUGAGAGGCCACCCGCCCGGAGCACAUAACAUUCCGGAUCCGAGAGCACGGGCAAAGAGCCUCAUGGGCCAAGGCAGCCAAGCGACUGGGCGAGGCAUGCCAGGAACACGAGGCUUGCCUGACGUCCAACCCACCACCCGUGAGGGCAUGGGGCGGAGGGAAACAAACAAACCAUCAAAUACCUUCCGACAGGUAAGCAACACAG
rnacentral:misc_RNA from 1 species